rnacentral:rRNA from 1 species
GCGGCAACAGCUCAAAUUUGAAAUCUGGUCCCCUUUGGGGGCCCGAGUUGUAAUUUGAAGAGGAUGCUUUUGGCGAGGCGCCGUCCGAGUUCCCUGGAACGGGACGCCGCAGAGGGUGAGAGCCCCGUACGGUCGGACGCCGAGCCUCUGUAAAGCUCCUUCGACGAGUCGAGUAGUUUGGGAAUGCUGCUCAAAAUGGGAGGUAAACCCCUUCUAAAGCUAAAUACUGGCCAGAGACCGAUAGCGCACAAGUAGAGUGAUCGAAAGAUGAAAAGCACUUUGAAAAGAGAGUUAAAAAGCACGUGAAAUUGUUAAAAGGGAAGCGCUUGCGACCAGACUUGCGCCCGUCGGAUCAACCGUCGCUUGCGGCGGCGCACUCCGGCGGGCUCAGGCCAGCAUCAGUUCGUCCGGGGGGAGAAAGGCGGCGGGAAUGUGGCUCUUCGGAGUGUUAUAGCCCGCCGUGUAAUACCCUCGGGUGGACUGAGGACCGCGCGUAUGCAAGGAUGCUGGCGUAAUGGUCGUCAGCGACCCGUCUUGAAACACGGACCC